CAUCUUUUCCUUCCUUGCCACAGGACAUGAUGUUAACCUCGAGCUGGAGGUGAAUCAGCAGAAACCUGGAGGAGACGAAUACAGGACGAGGGAGAGUAUGAUCAUUUGAAAGCAACAGGGAAGAGGUCAGAGUGGAUGGAUCUGCAUCAAAAAUGUCCCAUUGGACUUUGUUGCAACGAUGUCGCAGCAUUCCCAGAUUUCAGCAUUCAUUUGCCAUCUGCUUCCCUGGCACCCUUGCCUGCAUGACAUUCACCUGGAGGAACAGAAAAAAAGAGGACAACAAAGAAAAACACAGAGAGAGCAUGCAACUAAGGCAGAUACAAGUCUUUAACUGCCAGUGCUGCCAUGGUGCCAUUCACUCAACUACUGUAACUCGACAGAGGACUGAAAGUGAAAGACUGAAAAAAACCACAAGAAUCAGAGAGAAGGAGAGUGCGCUGGCAGCUUCUCUCUGCCUCUGCUGCCAUGGCAGAGUCAAACAGACUCAGCUCGAAAUUGUAACCCUAACAGGGGGUACAGGGAGGGCAGAGAGGGAUGGGAGUAAUGGAAGGGAGAGGCUCUAUCAGGGAGGAAAAUAGUGUCUGUAUUCCCCAGUACAUCACUGUUGUUGAGAAGCUCGGGCCUUGCCAGUAAAGUGAAGAAACAGCAGUGGCAGCUGCACCCAGUUCAGUGCCUGCUGACAGAGAGGAGGCUUUUGUUUGCAGCACAGGCAGCACAGUGAACAGCAUAGGGUGGCAUGGUCUGGAAUGUAACAUUAUUGUUUUGUUUUUUAAAUGGGGCACACUGAGGAGGCAAUUCAGAAAGACAUUUUGUUUGAAUGUAUGUGUGUGUGCACAUACUAUAAUGCAUGUGUGCCAGUUAUAGCCAGUACUGACCUAUAGGCAAGGCUCGUAGUUUUAAGUCUGAUUUUUUUUUUGCCUACAAAUACCUGUACCUUGUGGCAUCAGGGAAAUGUAAGUUACAUUGUGUACAGUGUAAAGUCAACACAAACUUCUUGCAGAGAAUGUGCAAAAUUCAGAUAAAAUAAGAGAAAGGGUCAAUACUAACUAAGAAAUUAAGAGUCCUACAAUGGAAUGUUUAAUUAAAAAAAGAGAAAGUUAUGUAUGCGAUCAUGUGUGCACUAGCUAACAUAUGAUGCAAUGCAUGUUUACUUAUGUUACCUCAUUAAUAAAUUGACAAUUAUUUAUCGAUUGCUUCUGUUGUACUUCGAUGUUUUUUUUUACUAAAGUA